rnacentral:lncRNA from 1 species
AAAAAAAUGACAUUCCAAUAAGGUGGAAUGAAAUAGAAACGGAAAAUUAGAACCAAAGAAAAUGAGUCCAAGGAUAUGCUAAUUGUAAGUAAUUUGCCUUGAUUAAGACUUAAAUUUGGCUCCAGCCUUCAUGGAAGCCCAGAGAAAGGGAAAUAGGACAAGUUGCAUGUUCUUCACAGGUCCUUGGAGGAGACAAAGCUGAUCAAGCACCAAGUCAGAGGAUGGGAUUUUUAAGGGGCUGUAAUGAAAAGAUUUUUGCAUUCCCCCUCCUGGAUUCCUCCUUAAAAGAGGGACCCAUGGCAAAUUACUAACCCUUGGUAGUACAGUCCAGUUUCCUCCUCAUUCUCAAAUGGGGUUAAUAGUAACUACUCUGCAGGUUGUUGGGAGGAUUAAAUGAGAGGCUUGGUAGAGAGUACAUUUGCAUGACUGUUAGUUGGAAUCAACCUAACUUCUAUUGGUGGAGGAAUGGUUAAAUGAAGUAUGAUACACUUUUAUCAUAACAUAGCGCAUCCUUCCUCAUGCUUCACCCCUCCCAACCCCACACGCCGUCAAUGACUCUGCAGUUUCUCCCAGGAAAGGCAGAGUAUAUUUCCUCACCCGACUAGUAUUGAACUUGGCCAUGUGAUUUGCUUUGGCCAAUGAAAUGGGGACAGAAGUGACAAUGUACUGAGCCCAGACCUAGGGGCAUUAUGUAUUUCCUUUGACCCCUCUUGAGAGUCUGCCAUCACCAUAAGACUAUGAUCUGCUAGUUUUUUUGGUCCAAGGAUGAUAACAAACACACGGAGCAGACUGGACCCAACCUGAACUUCAGAACCCAGAUGAGCCCAGCUGACUGAGACCCUCAGUGUGAGCGGAAAAAAAGGAAAAAGACGAGAAGACUGAGCUGUGAAGCCACUUGGGCAAGUUUGGUGGCAGAGCUGGAAUUUGAACUGGGUUUUCUCCCAGAACCUAUGCACCUAUGCUCUCAGCCUCUCCAUUACUGUAUAUGGCCAACAGCACUGAAGAAUAUCUCAGAAGAACGCACUUGCUUCCUUGUUUUUCACAUAAAAGAUGCUGCUGCUAUGCUGACCUAUGAACUGUGUGAGUCCUCUCUGCUUUUGCAGAAAUAGUGGGUGACCCUGUUGAAGUGUCUGACUUUUGAAGGACUAGUGAUUACCUUAUAAGCGGUGAGCCCCAUCGGAAAAGCUGUCCGUACCACCAAAACAAUCUGAGAAUGGACGAAGUGCAGAAUUCUCCAUCCGAUGCGUAGUCAUUUGUUGAUUAAAAAAGAAAGGCUUAAAUGAAUGUGUUGUUAUGAACCGUCUCAAAAUGCAUUCACAUCUUUUAUGUUAUUAUACACCC